rnacentral:lncRNA from 10 species
AUUUCAAGUAUCUGUUUCUUCCUGUGAGGAAACAGAUUGGUCCUCACGCCUGUGACACAUGCGAGCUUAGUCAUGCUCGAGGAGUCUGCUUGUGAAGAUUGACCCACUCUACUCUUCAAUACAGCAGGAGAGGCUUGUGGAAUAGAAACACAUGGCCUUCCAAUGAGCUUUUUCUGAUAUGUAAAUGCUAUGCCAAGAAAACUGUACCCAGCUUAGCUACAGAUACACAGCCUUUGUUUGUCGGUUUGCUGGAGUGGGGAGCAGUAUGGUAAAUGCACCUGACAACAGUAACUUAAAGCAUAUCCUGAGAAUGACCCUGUGUGGCAGACGUGUGUGUUCGGAGUUCCGAGCUAAAAAAAUCCAGGAGUGGCCAACAACCUGAAUCCCUGGCUCGUGGAAUACAGAGCAUACAGGGGACUGAGCCCCUUUGUUGUGGAUUAAAUGAAGGUUGCCAGGUGGAGGUUCUUCUGGGGAGGAUGGAAAGUGCUGUGGUCAUGCUGACAUAGAUCUGCAUCAGGACUGCGAGGAUUGGAAGAGGAAAUAAGCUGAAUAAUUCCAAAGCAGUCUGACAUCUGUGCAAGUUUGGACGUCUUCUCAUUAAAUGCAGACAGCACAUGUUCUUUCAACAUGUCCUGCAUCCCUUUGGUUCUGCUCAGAAAAUGGAAAGCAUGCUAGAUUUUCCAAGUAAAGAUAAUUUAAUAAGGGUAAAUUUGUCUAAAUUUGAUACACAGGUGAAGAAAGAACUGAGAAUUCAAUUAGACAAUUUGAAGCAAUUAGACAACCCGGAUUAGCAACAGUAGGAAGCUAGGAAAACCCAAGGGUUAAAGGAAGAGUGGAAGGAAAUAGAAUGGACAGAAUUUGGAAGCCAGGACAUAUGGCUGGGCUGCCUGGUAGGAUCUGGAACCAUAUGGGAGGUACAUCCUCUUCUAUAUACUGUGAGGCAGAACAAGAAAGAAAAAUACUUCCCACACUCCAGUAUUCCUGCAGUGCUCCCAUUUCAAAACUAGUCAAAACCCAGAUGGCAAAAAAGCUUGAAAAAAAUAUUUUCCUAAAAUACCUAGCAGAGUGGAAGGUGGGAAAUGAAGCAAUGAGCAAAUGAAAGGCAUACUUGUCCCCCAAAAUCCAAAGCUGUUAAAUGCCUUCACCUUCUGUCAGCUAUAAAUACAGUUAAUGAAUGGCUCUAAUAAGUGAGGCCUCUACAACUUUAUCUCAAAAUCAUUUUCUAGGAUCCAACAUUUAUCUACUUUUGUAUCAAUAUUAAUGAUAAUAUUUUUAUUAAUAUAAGUAAUUUAUAAUUACUUUUAAUUUUAAGUAAAAUCAUAAAGAGAAACUACAAAGUGCUUCAUAACCAGUGCCUUGAUUUUUCUCUUUAGUAUAUUCUUCUCUCUUAAGACUUGUCAGUUAUGAUCUAGUUCUUAAUACCAUGGUUUCAAGGACAAUUUUUCAAGAUAUG